rnacentral:rRNA from 1 species
CACGUAGGGCGCAAGCGUUGUCCGGAAUUAUUGGGCGUAAAGAGCUCGUAGGCGGUCUGUUGCGUCCGCUGUGAAAACUCGGGGCUUAACCCCGAGCCUGCAGUGGAUACGGGCAGACUAGAGGUAGGUAGGGGAGAGUGGAAUUCCCGGUGUAGCGGUGAAAUGCGCAGAUAUCGGGAGGAACACCAGUGGCGAAGGCGGGUCUCUGGCCACACCCUGACGCUGAGGCGCGAAAGCGUGGGGAGCAAACGGG